rnacentral:lncRNA from 1 species
UUUCUUCAGUUUGUUUCUCAACCAUCUUAUGAUACUUCUUAAACUUAUCAAAGACUUUGGAUUUAUAUUUCAGAAGAUACAUAUAUCUAUACCUGGAUAAGUCAUCAGUGAAUAUGAUGAAGAAGGAGUACUCAUGUGAGAACCGAUCCAUUUCGACCUGUUUCACACUGAAACUGGCAUCCCUCACCGACUUCAUCAAAAAUCAAAAAAAAAAUCUUGGGGAAGUGGGGAGACAAAGCCAUAUUCGACUAGAACAAGAGAACCUUAUUUCAAGUUGAUCCAUGGUCAGUGAAGGGG